rnacentral:rRNA from 1 species
UGGGGAAUUUUGGACAAUGGGCGAAAGCCUGAUCCAGCAAUGCCGCGUGUGUGAAGAAGGCCUUCGGGUUGUAAAGCACUUUUGUCCGGAAAGAAAUCCUUGGCUCUAAUACAGUCGGGGGAUGACGGUACCGGAAGAAUAAGCACCGGCUAACUACGUGCCAGCAGCCGCGGUAAUACGUAGGGUGCAAGCGUUAAUCGGAAUUACUGGGCGUAAAGCGUGCGCAGGCGGUUUGCUAAGACCGAUGUGAAAUCCCCGGGCUCAACCUGGGAACUGCAUUGGUGACUGGCAGGCUAGAGUAUGGCAGAGGGGGGUAGAAUUCCACGUGUAGCAGUGAAAUGCGUAGAGAUGUGGAGGAAUACCGAUGGCGAAGGCAGCCCCCUGGGGCCAAUACUGACGCUCAUGCACGAAAGCGUGGGGAGCAAACAGGAUUAGAUACCCUGGUAGUCCACGCCCUAAACGAUGUCAACUAGUUGUUGGGGAUUCAUUUCCUUAGUAACGUAGCUAACGCGUGAAGUUGACCGCCUGGGGAGUACGGUCGCAAGAUUAAAACUUAAAUGAAUUGACGGGGUCAUAGCUG